CCUACGGGUGGCAGCAGUGAGGAAUAAUGGGCAAUGGGCGAAAGGCUGAACGAGCCAAGGCGCGUGAAGGAAGAAGGAUCUACGGGGUGUAAACUUCUGUUAUAGGGGAAUAAAGGGAGCCACGUGUGCAUUUUUGCAUGUACCCUAUGAAUAAGGAUCGGCUAACUCCGUGCCAGCAGCCGCGGUAAUACGGAGGGUGCGAGCGUUAUUCGGAUUUAUUGGGCGUAAAGGGCGUGCAGGCGGCUUGGUAAGACAGUUGUGAAAGCUCCGGGCUUAACCGGGGAACGGCAGCUGUGACUGGCUGGCUUGAGUGCGUCAGAGGUAGGUGUAAUUCGUCGUGUAGCCGUGAAAUGCGUAGAUAUCUCGAAGAACACCGAUGGCGAAGGCAGCUUCCUGGACCGCAACUGACGCUGAUGCACGAAAGCGUGGGUAGCAAACAGGAUUAGAUACCCCAGUAGUC
rnacentral:rRNA from 1 species